rnacentral:rRNA from 1 species
CCUACGGGCGACAGCAGUGAGGAAUAUUGGUCAAUGGACGAGAGUCUGAACCAGCCAAGUAGCGUGAAGGAUGACUGCCCUAUGGGUUGUAAACUUCUUUUAUAAAGGAAUAAAACGAGGCACGUGUGCCUUUUUGCAUGUACUUUAUGAAUAAGGAUCGGCUAACUCCGUGCCAGCAGCCGCGGUAAUACGGAGGAUCCGAGCGUUAUCCGGAUUUAUUGGGUUUAAAGGGAGCGUAGAUGGGUUGUUAAGUCAGUUGUGAAAGUUUGCGGCUCAACCGUAAAAUUGCAAUUGAUACUGGCAGUCUUGAGUACAGGUGAGGUAGGCGGAAUUCGUGGUGUAGCGGUGAAAUGCUUAGAUAUCACGAAGAACCCCGAUUGCGAAGGCAGCUUACUAAACUGUGACUGACAUUGAUGCUCGAAAGUGUGGGUAUCGAACAGGAUUAGAUACCCUUGUAGUC